rnacentral:rRNA from 1 species
GUCUGCUGCUGGAGGCUACUAGCGUGUGCUUUUCACUCAUCGAGGUGGCCGGCUCGCCCCUACCUCGGGGAAUAUGUGCCUUAAUCCAAUGAUACCCGAUAUAUCUUACUCCGCCUUGAAAAUGAACCUGUGGUGUAUUGCCCCUGUCACCUUGUUGUCGAGCAAAACCUAACUUGCUUAAUGGAACUAUCAAUAAGUUAAUAACGUCCGUGAAUUCACGUCUAAAUGCUGCCCAUGGUGCCAGGGAGUAGGCAUUACCUGUUAAAUUUAAAAUACGGAUCUCAUUUAUCUGUGAAAUCUCUGAGAGAAGGUGGACUUCCGAGUAAGGGGGGAUUAAUAUGCCCCCCUGAACGUGAAUCUAACUUGUGUACAAACCGCCCGUCGCUCUCCCCGGAAGGGGAGAUAAGU